ACUCCUACGGGAGGCAGCAGUGGGAAUAUUGGACAAUGGGGGCACCCUGAUCCAGCAAUGCCGCGUGUGUGAAGAAGGCCUGAGGGUUGUAAAGCACUUUCAGUAGUGAGGAAGUUUUGUUGUUUAAGAGAUGACAGGAUUGACGUUAGCUACAGAAGCAGCACCGGCUAACUCCGUGCCAGCAGCCGCGGUAAUACGGAGGGUGCAAGCGUUAAUCGGAAUUACUGGGCGUAAAGGGCGCGUAGGUUGUUGAGUAAGUUGGCUGUGAAAGCCCC
rnacentral:rRNA from 1 species